rnacentral:misc_RNA from 1 species
UCCGGCUUAUCACCGGCGGUUUCUUUAGAGUGCCCAACUAAAUGAUGGCAACUAAAGACGAGGGUUGCGCUCGUUGCGGGACUUAACCCAACAUCUCACGGCACGAGCUGACGACAGCCAUGCAGCAUCUGUGCACGCUCCCUUGCGGGUCCCUCGGCUUUCACCUUGGUACCACGUGCAUGUCAAGCCUAGGUAGGGUUCUGCGCGUUGCAUCGAAUUAAACCACACGCUCCGCUGCUUGUGCGGGUCCCCGCCAAUUCCUUUGAGUUUUAGCCUUGCGGCCGUACUCCCCAGGCGGGGCGCUUAAUGCGUUAGCUGCGGCGCAGAAGACCGGAGAGGUCCCCCACACCUAGCGCCCAACGUUUACGGCGUGGACUAC